UGCGAUCUCCACGACCGUACAGCGACCAGGCGUGGGUGAGCGCUGCACUGCGUGAUACACAGGAUGUCUACGGCUGGGAGGAGCAGCUACUAAAGACGUUCAAGUGCUUUGAAAAGGCAGCGGUUCUCGCGUUCAGAGGGCAGCACUGGGUACUUCUGCAUAAUGUCUUCUCAACCAUAUGGAACCAGCUGAACUGGUUGAGACUUCACACAGAGAACGUGGGCUGCCCUAUCAAUGGGGCCAUGCUGCAACGUGCAACGUGGCACUGCCUGAACGUAACUGUCGACUGUAUGUUGGAAGCAGUACUGCAGCGAGAUUCCCCACAAGUGCAGACUGAGGAGAGUGAGACAACUGGAGCUAGCCUGCGAUGUGACAACAGGCUGGAUGGUGUUGCCUCUAACAGAGCGAUGCUCGAGCAGGCAGCACUACUAACGUUGGAGAUGCUUCAUGAAGCAGAGAAAUGGGAAAAGCUGAUACAUCUAGCACUGAUGUUCCUCGCCUGG